AUGCUACAUAAGAUUAAUAUCAUCACUCAACUAGAGUUUUUAACCAACUUGCUUUCUACACCGGGUGAUCAUUUUAUGAUUACACGUAAAGAUGGAUUGCUUAGCAGCAACGUAUCAGUUUUGGAUUCACAAAAAAAAGUUCACGAAGCCCGUGAUAUGAUAACCUAUAAGAUUGUUGAGUGCAUAUUAGCUCCAUUUUAUGCAUGCUAG